GUCUAGUGGCGAACGGGUGCGUAACACGUGAGCAACCUGCCGUGAAGUGGGGGAUAGCUCGCCGAAAGGCGAAUUAAUACCGCAUGUGGCCAGGAAGGACAUCCUUCCGACGCCAAAGCCGGGGCAACCUGGCGCUUCUCGAGGGGCUCGCGGCCUAUCAGCUUGUUGGUGAGGUAACGGCUCACCAAGGCUAUGACGGGUAGCUGGUCUGAGAGGACGACCAGCCACACUGGAACUGAGACACGGUCCAGACACCUACGGGUGGCAGCAGUCGAGAAUUUUUCACAAUGGGGGAAACCCUGAUGGAGCGACGCCGCGUGGAGGAUGACGGUUUUCGGAUUGUAAACUCCUGUCAUUAGAGAACAAGGCACACGGUUUAACUGGCCGCGUGUUGAUAGUAUCUGAAGAGGAAGAGACGGCUAACUCUGUGCCAGCAGCCGCGGUAAUACAGAGGUCUCAAGCGUUGUUCGGAUUCAUUGGGCGUAAAGGGUGCGUAGGUGGCGAGGUAAGUCGGAUGUGAAAUCUCCAAGCUCAACUUGGAAACUGCAUUCGAUACUGCUUUGCUAGAGGAUUGUAGAGGGCAUUGGAAUUCACGGUGUAGCAGUGAAAUGCGUAGAUAUCGUGAGGAAGACCAGUGGCGAAGGCGAAUGCCUGGGCAAUUCCUGACACUGAGGCACGAAGGCCAGGGGAGCAAACGGGAUUAGAUACCCCGGUAGUCCUGGCAGUAAACGGUGCACGUUUGGUGUGGGAGGAUUCGACCCCUUCCGUGCCGGAGCUAACGCGUUAAACGUGCCGCCUGGGGAGUACGGUCGCAAGAUUAAAACUCAAAGAAAUUGACGGGGACCCGCACAAGCGGUGGAGUAUGUGGCUUAAUUCGAUCAACGCGAAGAACCUUACCUGGCCUUGACAUGCAUCUCUAAUCCGGUGAAAGCCGGUGAGUGUAGCAAUACACAAUUUGCACAGGUGCUGCAUGGCUGUCGUCAGCUCGUGUCGUGAGAUGUUGGGUUAAGUCCCGCAACGAGCGCAACCCCUGUGAACUGUUGCCAUGGAGACGUGAGUCUCCGGCACUCUGUUCAGACUGCCCUGUUCAACGGGGAGGAAGGUGGGGACGACGUCAAGUCAGUAUGGCCCUUACGGCCAGGGCUGCACACGUACUACAAUGCCCGACACAGAAGGAUCCGAGACCGCAAGGUGGAGGAAAUCACCAAAGUCGGGCCCAGUUCGGAUUGGAGGCUGCAACUCGCCUCCAUGAAGCCGGAAUCGCUAGUAAUGGCGCAUCAGCUACGGCGCCGUGAAUACGUUCCCGGGUCUUGUACACACCGCCCGUCACAUCAUGGGAGUCGUUUGUACCCGAAGUGCGCGCGCCAACCGCAAGGAGGCAGCGCCCUAAGGUAUGAGCGGUAACUGGGAUGAAGUCGUAACAAGGUA
rnacentral:rRNA from 1 species